rnacentral:rRNA from 1 species
GACAGAGGUGCCGAGCGUUAGGCGGAAUCACUGGGCUUAAAGCGUGUGUAGGCGGGCGGGCAAGUACCUUGUGAAAUCCCACGGCUCAACCGUGGAACGGCUGGGUAUACUGCCUGUCUUGAGCCAGCUAGGGGCGAGCGGAACAGACGGUGGAGCGGUGAAAUGCGUAGAUAUCGUCUGGAACGCCGAAGGUGAAAACAGCUCGCUGGGGCUGUGCUGACGCUGAGACACGAAAGCCAGGGGAGCAAACGGG